AUUUAAUGAUAGGGACAACUUGCACACAACUUCUUAAAUCGCUCCCAAAACUCAUAUAAACUCUCUCCAUUAUAUAGCCGGAUGCCACAAAUUUCUUUUCUUAUGUU